UUUUUUUUGCAUAAAAUUUCAGGAGUUUCAUAGUCCUCCUAAAGACCCAAUAUAUAGCUCCAGGGCUGUUGAUACAAAAUAGAAAUUAUUAAAUAUUGAAACGACUGAAUAAAAAUUCAGCAAUGCUAUCACAAAAAAAAGCAAUGUUGCUCUAACAUCAAAACAUUUGUAAUUAUACAUUGCGAAAUUAGAAAAAAGUUCUCAUGUGUUCACAUCAGUUUGCCUGACAAAACUAGGCAGUAGUGCGCCUGCAUGUUCAGUUCUUUCAACAGGAAAAAUUCAAGGAUUUCUUUUUUUAAAUUAUCCAUUGUUUCACUUAAGUAUGAUAGCAAUUGAGUUAAAUAAUCACUUUAGGGAAGAGACAUGCUAUAGUGUGUUCACAAGUAAAGGAGGUGUUCGGAUGAAUGGCGCCUUAAGGUUGGUGUCAGUUUUAAUGCACUUAAUGUUCACACAUAUAUAGUUACAUAUUUCGCCAGCACACCCUUUACUAACAGAAUCGACUUAGCUCCUUAACUCCGUGGGUGAAGGAGAUGAGUGGCUCUUCAACCUAGGGGGGUAUAGAAAUCACCUGGCUUGUUAAAAUGUACAUUGCCAGGUCCAGGGCACAAAAUUUUGUAUAGCUGAGUCUGUGAGAGGAGCCAAGAAAUAUUGGUCUUUUAAAAACAUUCUCCUGUUGUUUCUCAUGCAAGAGGUCCUGAGAUUCCUCUCCGAGAAAUGUUGGGCUAGUGUAAGGCAAAUUUUAUCUUGUUUUUAUUCUGACACCAUUCUUUGUGCAAAAUAGAUAGUAAGUGCUCAUUAACUUGCAUUAUUCCUGCUGUAGUGAAUCAUGGGAAAAUUGCCUGGGCUCAGAAAUGUUUUGCAGAGCAUGGCAUACCAUAAUAUAUGAAGCAAUGGAAAAUGUUAACACCAAACCAUAUGUCUUAGGAAUCACAACUAAAUUUCCUAUAUGAUGUUUUUUCAAUAUGUUGAUCAUUUUAAGCUGCUCAUUUUCUAAUCCUGCAAAAGGAGCCAUGAGCCUUCUGUAACUCAUGUUUGAAAUUGCUCUGGUUUUCUUUUAAAAAUAAAACCAAAAUAAUCUCCUUUUAUUUCUUUUAAAUUGUGAAUAGGAUGCUCUUCAAAUAAAUCGGUACAAUAGAGGUAAAUGGAAUCACAUGUGUUCAUUCCAUUUCUGCGCUAAGAAAGUUGGCAAGUGCUUUACAGCUGUUGUGCUAAGCCUCACCACAGCUCCUUUAAGAAGCAAUGGUUAUACCCAUUCUAUGGAUCAAGUCUCAGAUUCAGAGAAGCAAAUUGCUCAAAGUCAUCCGGCUAGUGGAAUUGGAAAUUGUCUUUAGCUAACAUAUCAGUGACCCUUUUCCAGCAUGCAUGUGUUAUCAGGACUUUCUGAAGUUAUUCUUCAGAAGCAACUUCAUGUCUCACGGCUAUAAUUUGUUGGUGAUCCACCUGAGCCAGAGAAUGCUUUAUACUGGAUCAGAUUCAUACUCCAGAGCAACUAAAACAAAUAUGUACAUGGAUAUAUAAAUUAUGUAUAAUUAUAUAUAUUUGGGCAUUAUAAUUAUAUAUAAUUUAUAUACAUAUAUUCAAGGAAAUUUAGGGAAAAUACAUUGCUAAGGCUUAGGUUUAUCCAGAUUGCUCUCAUCUGCUAAUCUAACUUUAUUAUUAUAUCUUUGAAGUCAAGCCAGAUUUUUCUUUUUUUUUUUUUUUACAUAUGUACAUCGACUCAUGUUUUUAUUUCUAUUCGUAUCACAACUGGCAAGGAAAUGACAAUAAAAUAUUCUAAAGAUAACCUACAAAAAUAAGCAGAAAACUAUAGCAAAAUAAUAGCUCACAUUUAUAUAGCACAUACUCUGUGACAGGCAUUUCCAAGUAUUCUGCUUCCAGUAACAGUAACAAUAGAUGUCUUCAUAAUUACGGAAUUUGGAAAAGCGGGUAGGCGAUUCAUGACUGAUUUUAUAAAUUAGUGAAAAGCUGAGAGUACAUGGAAGAGCCAGUGAGAGUCAUACCUAUCAGCAACCAGAACCCAGAAUAGCUCAGUAAUUGUGAAUAUUAAGAACUUCUUACUGGAUUUCUCUUGUGGCAUAGUGGGUUGGGAACCUGCAUGGUUAUUGCAGCAGCUUCCCUGGCCUAGGAAUUUCCACAUGCCCUGGAUGUGGCCAAAAAAAGAGAGAGAGAGAGAGAGAGAGAGAGAGAGAGAGAGAGAGAGAGAGAGAGAGAACCUCUUACUGAGCUACAUGGUGGAGUUUAAACAGAAUUAACUAAAAAAAAUUUAAUGGGAAUUCCUGUUGUGGAGCAGUGGGUUAAGAAUCUGACUCCAGUGACUCAGGUCACUGGCGAGGUGUAGGUACUAUGCCCGGAGUUAUAGGGGUAGGUAUGGGUUUGAUCCCAGGCUGGGCUCAGUGGAUUGUUAAAAGGAUCCAGCUUUGCCAUAGCAAAAAUCUUUUAAUGUACAGACAGCCCACCAACACAUCCAAGUUUUCAAGGUGCAUUUCUCAGGUUUUCUUAUUCUUCCUUCUGCCUUUCUGUUGAAACCAAUUCAUCACCUAGUGCUUUUAAUUCUUCUCCCAACAGAUGCCAAAUCUGUCCAGUUCUCCUAUUCUUUCUACUUUAACUCUAAACCAAGCCAUUCUCAUGUCUCACCUUGAUCUCCUAAUUGGCUUUUUUUUUUUUUUUCUUCAUGUACCCUUACUCCACAGAUCAGGCUAAGGAAUUUACAAAUGGAAAUUAAAUCAUCUCUCUCCUCUAUUUAAAACAGUCUAAUAAGCCAGAUUUUUCUUCAAUCGCCUCAGUUUUCUUUUCCUUUCACGUUAUUUGCUAGACACACACACACACACAUACACACACACACACACACGUAUAAUUCAUCUUCAUAGCUGAUAGCAGAUAUACAUUAUUGCCAUAAUUAUUCCCAUUUUACUCCUGGAAAAGCAGAUUUGUAGCAAGAUCAAAUGAUGUUUUCAAGGACAAACCUAUUAAGUGGCAGAACUGGGGUUUGUUCCCAAGUCCGCCUGACUUUCAAAGCCUGUUCUCAUAGCUUCUUAAGGGCUCCAGCAGGUGUCACGAACUCAAAUGCCAGACUAGUCAUGAAAAUGAGUAUUGCUGGUGUGGAGUGAAAAAAAAUUACUCAGCUCUCUUGGUCACUUGUCCAUUUUUCUACUUUGUGGAGGGACUCGGCUAUUGAGAUGAUAUUUCUCUGCCAUUGGAAAAUAAGAGAUCAAGUGCAGUGAUAAAGUACAAGCGAUGUCCAUCCCUGGGGGCAGGGGUGGAGGGGAGAAGCCGUAGGGAGCAGGGCAGACUGCAAUGAACUGGGGGAUUUGAGGAGCAGCUGUUACCCCCUCCACCCCUCAGCCAACUGCUGCAGAAGAACAUCAUGAUCCAGGGGACCAGAUUUACUGAAUUUUCAAGAAAAAUUGUGACCCUAGAUGUUUAUGUAACAGAUACUUUUUUAAUUGCCUUAUAGUUUUUUAGCAAGUUUAUUUUAAAGUGUCAGGUCAAUGAAACAUCUAUACCGGCCAAAUCAAGUUUCUAGACCACUUGUUUUUCUACCUGUGUAAGUAUUACGUACUUGACAUUUCAAAAUAAAUAGACAGCAUUCCUACUCUGGGGCAGCAGGUUAAGGAUCCAGUGAUGUCUCUGCAGUGGCUCUGAGGCCCGGGUGGCUUUGACCUCUGGCCCGGGACUUCCAUAUGCUGUGGCCAAAAAAAA
rnacentral:lncRNA from 1 species